AUACGUAGGGGGCAAGCGUUGUCCGGAAUGAUUGGGCGUAAAGGGCGCGUAGGCGGCCUGGUAAGUCUGGAGUGAAAGUCCUGCUUUUAAGGUGGGAAUUGCUUUGGAUACUGCUGGGCUUGAGUGCAGGAGAGGUAAGUGGAAUUCCCGGUGUAGCGGUGAAAUGCGUAGAUAUUAGGAGGAACACCAGUAGCGAAGGCGGCUUUCUGGACUGUAACUGACACUGAGGCACGAAAGCGUGGGGAGC
rnacentral:rRNA from 1 species